rnacentral:rRNA from 1 species
AUUGAACGCUGGCGGCAGGCCUAACACAUGCAAGUCGAGCGAGCGGCGGACGGGUGAGUAAUGUCUGGGGAUCUGCCUGAUAGAGGGGGAUAACUACUGGAAACGGUAGCUAAUACCGCAUACCAUCAGAUGUGCCCAGAUGGGAUUAGCUAGUAGGUGGGGUAAUGGCUCACCUAGGCGACGAUCCCUAGCUGGUCUGAGAGGAUGACCAGCCACACUGGAACUGAGACACGGCCCAGACUCCUACGGGAGGCAGCAGUGGGGAAUAUUGCACAAUGGGCGCAAGCCUGAUGCAGCCAUGCCGCGUGUGUGAAGAAGGCCUUAGGGUUGUAAAGUACUUUCAGUCGGGAGGCGUUACCCGCAGAAGAAGCACCGGCUAACUCCGUGCCAGCAGCCGCGGUAAUUC